AGAGGACAAAGGCCACAGAGCAGUGCGCUGGCUGAGGCAUGCGAUUGUAAACCAAAAGCUCAGUUUCCAUUUGGAAUGGCUUCCGGAAGGCUGGAAUUGAAAUCCACCAGUGCCCAUUUCAAGGUGCUCCCAACACAGCCUGGAAAAAAGGAGCCCAGAUACGCUUCCCUGUGGACGCAGGUCAGUCAUCAGGACGCACAGAAACAGCGUUGCCCUUGGCCUGGAGCCAUUGUCCUGAAAGGGGAUCCUUCCCAACUGGGGCCUGAGACUGAUCCCUGAGAAGUGGCCCCUCCAUCCUGGAACCCCUCCUGCUUGUGUCUCCUUACUUCCUGGUGAUCACCGCAUUCAGGCUCAGAAUGCCGCAGGCCUAUCCCACUGGAAGCUGCCAAGGUGCCCAGCGCCCUGUUGCACUCUUGUCCCACAGGACGCCAGGCACAGCAGCAGCAUCAAGGGACCAGCAGGGAAGAGGCUGCAGUGAUUUGGGGAAACAGUGUGAAAAUCACCUGGGGCCUGGCGACACGGGGUCCCGCCUCCUCCCCCAUAUUAGGUCCCAGAGAAAAUGACAAUAUGAACAGCUCAUGUCACCAUUAUUAGGCAGAGUCUUUAUUCUUUCCUUAAUCUUUGCCAUUAAAUUGAGCUCUAUAGGACCAUUUUCUGCUUUUAAUGCCAAUAAAUGAAAUUCCAG
rnacentral:lncRNA from 1 species